GUGCUCACUUUGGCAGCACAUAUACUAAAACUGGAACAAUAUAGAGAUUAGCGUGGCCCCUGAACAAGGAUGACACGCAAAUUCAUGAAGCGUUCCAUAUUAAA